AGGAAGUCAUGUUGGGAUGUCACCGUCUCACCUGUUGUCGUUGAUAAGCACUCAGUCGCCCAGCUGCUGAGGGGCCCCACUGGGGGCUUAUUGAUAAGAACGUGUGGAGAAGCAAUGAUGACAAGGGGACAUUUAGACUAUAAAUACCAGGAGUUCGGGAGGAAUAUCCGAGGGUGUUCAGAUUGGGCAAGGCGACCCUUUGCUGAUCUAGAUAGUUCCCGAGGACCUUUGGGGCAUCAGCUCCAGGCGUGGUAAAGGCGACUCUGAAGGGCAGUGGUGGAAGCCUUGCAGCAGCCUCAGGAGAUCAUCUUGUCCGUCAACACCGUCGCCAUGGUCGCUCCCUAGCAACGUGCUCUAGCAACGGGACUUUUACUUCUGCGCUGGCAGCUGGACAGCAGCUUGCGGUUGGCCAGGCCCUCUCUCUCGACACCAACUCAUAUAAAGCCAUGGCUACUCCUCCGACAGCGCCAAUAGCAGUUGUGCCACCAUUUCAAAAUGGAACACCACCUUCUGGUCCAGAUACAACGCCCCUGUCUGUGACAUCCUCUAUUUCCUGCACGGAUCACAAUCCUGGGCACUUUGUUGCAACUGAGGGCUCACCAGCAUCACCAAGCCCAAUCUUUUCACCCUACCCCUCGCCAUCAGCACCACCUCCUCACUGGGAAACCUUUGAUCAAUGGGGAAACCAAGUCCUGAGGGAAGCUGACAAAGCAGUGGAAACCUCUACUUCAAUCCCCACAAGAAUCAACGAGGAUCCUGACCAAUACCUUCCGUUAGACCCUGACUCAAAGGAUGAAGAUUGGCCUGAAUUGCUAACUGACUCUUGGUGUUAUAACCCAGCAUAUAUACCAAGACAAGCAGGAAUUGAAGAGAACAAAAACACACUUUUCCCAGAGUUACGACAGCUUUAAAUCCUGAUGGAAUGGCAAUCGAGACUGUGCUUAAUGACGCUGUGCAAGCUUGUACCUCCUGGAGUUUUCUAAAAAUGGCUGUUACGUGGAAAUGCAACUGUCAAGGAAGCUUAACUGAGUGGCUUAAGAAACCUAAUCUUUGGCCUUUUGGUAAUUGGAUAUGCCACCAUAUUAAAGAAUUCUUUGUUAUGCUUAUAUUGAUAAUAUUAGAUUGCUUAAACUGGUCAUUAAACUAUGGUCUAAAAGGAUGUGUGUCAAAGGACAAUUACCCACAUAACAUAAUUGAGUGUUUGCGAAUAAGAUUAUAAAUGACAUAGAAUCACAGGGUGGGGUGACAUUUUCGUGAACUUAGAUUUGUACGGGCAUUAGGCCCUUAGGAUUAAUUAGAGUGUGAGAGAUUUGAAACCACAGGGCGGAUUGCUGUGUAUUGGUUUGAUACGGUUUCAAAUCCACUUGUUUAUGACUUAAGUGAAGUUGUUUUAAUCCACUUGUUUAGGGCAAGAUUUCUAAAAGGUUGUUUUUAGAAGGGAAGUUGUGUAAGGAGGAAGUCAUGUCAGGAUGUCACCGUCUCACCUGUUGUCGUUGAUAAGCACUCAGUCGCCCAGCUGCUGAGGGGCCCCACUGGGGGCUUAUUGAUAAGAACGUGUGGAGAAGCAAUGAUGACAAGGGGACAUCUAGACUAUAAAUACCAGGAGUUUGGGAGGAAUAUCCGAGGGUGUUCGGAUUGGGCAAGGCGACCCUUUGCUGAUCUAGAUAGUUCCUGAGGACCUUUGGGGCAUCAGCUCCAGGCGUGGUAAAGGCGACUCUGAAGGGCAGUGGUGGAAGCCUUGCAGUAGCCCCCGAAGAAGAUCAUCUUGUCCGUCAACACCGUCGCCAUGGUCGCUCCCUAGCAACGUGCUCUAGCAACGGGACUUUUACUUCUGCGCUGGCCGCUGGACAGCAGCUUGCGGUUGGCCAGGCCCUUUCUCUCGACACCAACUCAUAUAAAGGACCGUGGCCCUCCCCAGACCAGUUAGCCAGGACCUCCUCGCAAUCCUGCCUCAAGAGAGGUCAGAUACUUCACAUGGGCACAGAUAUCAAAGAACUCUUUAAGUUUUAAAAUAGGCUUUUGGAAUUUGGGACUAAGACAAUGCUUCAAUAGAAAGGGUUUUAGAAUUCACAAAGCUUACCCUUGACUUGUAUGCUGAAAGUAAAACACAGAAGAACCCAGG
ensembl:lncRNA